GGGUGCACAGCUCAGUGGUAAGAGCGCAUGCUUAGCAAUCACGAGGUCCUGGGUUCAGUCCCCAGUACUUCCA
rnacentral:tRNA from 1 species